rnacentral:rRNA from 1 species
CCUACGGGUGGCUGCAGUGGGGAAUAUUGCACAAUGGGGGCAACCCUGAUGCAGCAACGCCGCGUGAGUGAGGAAGUCUUUCGGUAUGUAAAGCUCUAUUCGCAGGGAAUAGAAAAGAAGCUACAUGAAAAAGAAGCCCCGCCUAACUACGUGCGAGCAGCCGCGGUCAUACGUCGGGGGCAAGCGUUAUCCUGAUUUACUGGGUGUAAAGGGAGCGUAGACGGGAAGGCAAGUCAGAAGUGAAAACCCAAGGCUCAACCAUGGGACUGCUUUUGAAACUGUCGAACUAGAGUACGGGAGAGGCAAGAGGAAUUCCUAGUGUAGCGGUGAAAUGCGUAGAUAUUAGGAGGAACACCAGUGGCGAAGGCGUCUUACUGGACCGCAACUGACGUUGAGGCGCGAAAGCGUGGGGAGCAAACAGGAUUAGAUACCCCAGUAGUC